rnacentral:piRNA from 1 species
UAAGCGUCUAUAUUUAGGUCCACUCACUGA